AGGAUUAGAUACCCUGGUAGUCCACGCCGUAAACGAUGUCGACUAGCCGUUGGGGUACUUGAUGCCUUGGUGGCGCAGUUAACGCGAUAAGUCGACCGCCUGGGGAGUACGGCCGCAAGGUUAAAACUCAAAUGAAUUGACGGGGGCCCGCACAAGCGGUGGAGCAUGUGGUUUAAUUCGAUGCAACGCGAAGAACCUUACCAGGUCUUGACAUCCUUGAAAUUCCGCAGAAAUGUGGAAGUGCCUUCGGGAAUCAAGUGACAGGUGCUGCAUGGCUGUCGUCAGCUCGUGCCG
rnacentral:rRNA from 1 species